AUUUUAGUGAAUGAUGUUUAAACUUUUUUCCCCAUCUUAUCGAUCAUGACGAUUAUAUUGAGAAAAAGCCAAAUUCUUCUGACACUAAUGA